rnacentral:rRNA from 1 species
AUGUGAACUUAUCUCUUUGUUGCCUCGGCGCAAGCUACCCGGGACCUCGCGCCCCGGGCGGCCCGCCGGCGGACAAACCAAAACUCUUGUUAUCUUAGUUGAUUAUCUGAGUGUCUUAUUUAAUAAGUCAAAACUUUCAACAACGGAUCUCUUGGUUCUGGCAUCGAUGAAGAACGCAGCGAAAUGCGAUAAGUAAUGUGAAUUGCAGAAUUCAGUGAAUCAUCGAAUCUUUGAACGCACAUUGCGCCCAUUAGUAUUCUAGUGGGCAUGCCUGUUCGAGCGUCAUUUCAACCCCUAAGCACAGCUUAUUGUUGGGAACCUACGGCUUCGUAGUUCCUCAAAGACAUUGGCGGAGUGGCAGUGGUCCUCUGAGCGUAGUAAUCUUUUAUCUCGCUUCUGUUAGGUGCUGCCCCCCCGGCCGUAAAACCCCCAAUUUUUUCUGGUUGACCUCGGAUCAGGUAGGAAUACCCGCUGAACUUAAGCAUAUCAAUAAGGCGGAGGAA